rnacentral:rRNA from 1 species
CCUACGGGAGGCAGCAGUGGGGAAUAUUGCACAAUGGGGGAAACCCUGAUGCAGCGACGCCGCGUGAGUGAAGAAGUAUUUCGGUAUGUAAAGCUCUAUCAGCAGGGAAGAAAAUGACGGUACCUGAUUAAGAAGCCCCGGCUAACUACGUGCCAGCAGCCGCGGUAAUACGUAGGGGGCAAGCGUUAUCCGGAUUUACUGGGCGUAAAGCGUGCGUAGGCUGUUUCGUAAGUCGUGUGUGAAAGGCGCGGGCUCAACCCGCGGACGGCACAUGAUACUGCGAGACUAGAGUAAUGGAGGGGGAACCGGAAUUCUCGGUGUAGCAGUGAAAUGCGUAGAUAUCGAGAGGAACACUCGUGGCGAAGGCGGCUUACUGGACUGUAACUGACGUUGAGGCUCGAAAGCGUGGGGAGCAAACAGGAUUAGAUACCCCAGUAGUC